rnacentral:lncRNA from 1 species
UGACGAGUCUAAUGCUGAAGAUGACCCUCCUGCCGAGUAGAUAUGUAGGAUUUUGUAAUAAAGAAAGUUUUCUUUCUUCUCUUUUUCUUUUGUACUUAGCCCGAAUCGUAAGCGACCGGGUUUGUAAAGUAGAAAUUUUCUAAGUAUAAAUAAGAUAUACUCUUUGCCCAUGAAUGUUUAUUGUCAGUUGCACUUAUGACUGAUCUCGAUCAGUUAUGUCCACCCGAACCUUCUGGUCGGAUCGUCAACAGUUAUACCCGAGAUUUAUCUCGAUCAGUGGUGUCUGCCCGAACCUCUUGAUCGGAUGGUGCUCGAGAUCUGUACUUUAAGCAUUUAUUAAACUCUUGGUCAGUUAUGCUCGGGACUUAUCUCGAUCAUGGAGUUUGUCCGAAGCUCUUGAUCGGAUAGUGCCCGAAACAUGUCUGUUCAAGUAGUAACGAAAUAUAUAAAUAUAGAUGAGGUUAAACAUUGACAGGAAUGGGAACUUUCAUUUAUAUCAUUUGAAUUGAAACGAUUACAUGGAUAAAACAAGAACGACAUAACUAUUACUGGUAAAAUUUUCUAAGUCUUCCAGCAUGCCAUGUAUUCUUUAUCUCCGAACCGUCCAUUGCUCGAAGCCGGUAGGUUCCGGGCUUCGGCACUCCUACCACCUCAUAAGGCCCCUCCCAGUUAGGCAUUAACUUGCCGAUGUUUUGGGGGGUUGAUGCCUCAGACUCCCGGAGGACCAGAUCUCCUACUGCAAACCUCCUUGUCUUCACCUUCUGAUUAUAGUGUCGGGCCGUUCGUUGCUGAUAGAUCGCCAACCUCAUCAUGGCGGAAUCCCGAACUUCAUCUAACAAAUCUAAAUUUGCUCUCAAACCCUCGUCAUUAUAUAGCUCUUUGUAUUGUCUGACUCGAAGAGUUGGAGAUCCGAUCUCAACAGGAAUGAGCGCAUCGGUCCCGUAUGCCAACCUGAAUGGGGAGUCUCCAGUUGUAGUCCUUGGGGUAGUUUGAUACGCC